rnacentral:rRNA from 1 species
UACGGAGGGUGCAAGCGUUAUCCGGAUUUACUGGGUUUAAAGGGUGCGUAGGCGGACAGGUAAGUCGGGUGUGAAAUCUUGGAGCUUAACUCCGAAACUGCAUUCGAUACUGCCGUGCUUGAGGACUGGAGAGGAGACUGGAAUUUACGGUGUAGCGGUGAAAUGCGUAGAUAUCGUAAGGAAGACCAGUGGCGAAGGCGGGUCUCUGGACAGUUCCUGACGCUGAGGCACGAAGGCCAGGGGAGCAAACGGG